CGGGGUGUGGCGCAGCUUGGUAGCGUGCUUCGUUCGGGACGAAGAGGNNNUUCGAAUCCCGCCACCCCGACCC
rnacentral:tRNA from 1 species